UUUUUAAGCUUAGUGGCGAACGGGUGAGUAACGCGUGAGUAACCUGCCCUAGAGUGGGGGACAACAGUUGGAAACGACUGCUAAUACCGCAUAAGCCCACGGUACCGCAUGGUACUGAGGGAAAAGGAUUUAUUCGCUUUAGGAUGGACUCGCGUCCAAUUAGCUAGUUGGUGAGGUAACGGCCCACCAAGGCGACGAUUGGUAGCCGGACUGAGAGGUUGAACGGCCACAUUGGGACUGAGACACGGCCCAGACUCCUACGGGAGGCAGCAGUGGGGGAUAUUGCACAAUGGGGGAAACCCUGAUGCAGCGACGCCGCGUGGAGGAAGAAGGUUUUCGGAUUGUAAACUCCUGUCGUUAGGGACGAUAAUGACGGUACCUAACAAGAAAGCACCGGCUAACUACGUGCCAGCAGCCGCGGUAAAACGUAGGGUGCAAGCGUUGUCCGGAAUUACUGGGUGUAAAGGGAGCGCAGGCGGGAAGACAAGUUGGAAGUGAAAACCAUGGGCUCAACCCAUGAAUUGCUUUCAAAACUGUUUUUCUUGAGUAGUGCAGAGGUAGAUGGAAUUCCCGGUGUAGCGGUGGAAUGCGUAGAUAUCGGGAGGAACACCAGUGGCGAAGG
rnacentral:rRNA from 1 species